rnacentral:rRNA from 1 species
CGAGCGGUAGAGAUUCUUCGGAAUCUUGAGAGCGGCGUACGGGUGCGGAACACGUGUGCAACCUGCCUUUAUCUGGGGGAUAGCCUUUCGAAAGGAAGAUUAAUACCCCAUAAUAUAUUGAAUGGCAUCAUUUGAUAUUGAAAACUCCGGUGGAUAGAGAUGGGCACGCGCAAGAUUAGAUAGUUGGUGAGGUAACGGCUCACCAAGUCAACGAUCUUUAGGGGGCCUGAGAGGGUGAUCCCCCACACUGGUACUGAGACACGGACCAGACUCCUACGGGAGGCAGCAGUGAGGAAUAUUGGACAAUGGGUGAGAGCCUGAUCCAGCCAUCCCGCGUGAAGGACGACGGCCCUAUGGGUUGUAAACUUCUUUUGUAUAGGGAUAAACCUAGAUACGUGUAUCUAGCUGAAGGUACUAUACGAAUAAGCACCGGCUAACUCCGUGCCAGCAGCCGCGGUAAUACGGAGGGUGCAAGCGUUAUCCGGAUUUAUUGGGUUUAAAGGGUCCGUAGGCGGAUUUGUAAGUCAGUGGUGAAAUCUCACAGCUUAACUGUGAAACUGCCAUUGAUACUGCAAGUCUUGAGUGUUGUUGAAGUAGCUGGAAUAAGUAGUGUAGCGGUGAAAUGCAUAGAUAUUACUUAGAACACCAAUUGCGAAGGCAGGUUACUAAGCAACAACUGACGCUGAUGGACGAAAGCGUGGGGAGCGAACAGGAUUAGAUACCCUGGUAGUCCACGCCGUAAACGAUGCUAACUCGUUUUUGGGAUGAAAAUUUCAGAGACUAAGCGAAAGUGAUAAGUUAGCCACCUGGGGAGUACGAACGCAAGUUUGAAACUCAAAGGAAUUGACGGGGGCCCGCACAAGCGGUGGAUUAUGUGGUUUAAUUCGAUGAUACGCGAGGAACCUUACCAAGGCUUAAAUGGGAAAUGACAGGUUUAGAAAUAGACUUUUCUUCGGACAUUUUUCAAGGUGCUGCAUGGUUGUCGUCAGCUCGUGCCGUGAGGUGUUAGGUUAAGUCCUGCAACGAGCGCAACCCCUGUCACUAGUUGCCAUCAUUAAGUUGGGGACUCUAGUGAGACUGCCUACGCAAGUAGAGAGGAAGGUGGGGAUGACGUCAAAUCAUCACGGCCCUUACGCCUUGGGCCACACACGUAAUACAAUGGCCGGUACAGAGGGCAGCUACACUGCGAAGUGAUGCAAAUCUCGAAAGCCGGUCUCAGUUCGGAUUGGAGUCUGCAACUCGACUCUAUGAAGCUGGAAUCGCUAGUAAUCGCGCAUCAGCCAUGGCGCGGUGAAUACGUUCCCGGGCCUUGUACACACCGCCCGUCAAGCCAUGGAAGCUGGGGGUACCUGAAGUCGGU